GUUCAUCGUUAAAUAUCUUUCAUUCUCAUCACCGAGACAUGAGGAGUGUUUCUGUGAAGGAGGCAAAGAAACUUGUUUAGAAGUUGAUAUUUACACAACUCAGUGUUGGAAUUGUCAUCUGAAAUCAGGAAGAGAAGAGAGGAAGCAAUGUCACCGAACUUGGGAAUCAGAGAUUUGGUGGACAAAUCAGGAAGAGCAGAAGAAGUGCAGACCAUCAGCAAUGCAUAGAGCAGCUCUAAUCACAGUCGAGCUGCAAGGACACUCAUGAGAAGCUUUUCCAUCUUAGAAACACAAACAGCUCCAUCGAUCUUGCUAACACCCUAGAGUUUUCGGCAGACACAACAUCUUUGUUUGUAUGUGGUGCUGAGGAUCGAACCCGGGCCGCACGCAUGCCAGGUGAGUGCGCUACCGCUUGAGCCACAUCCCCAGCCCAAUUCUCCCUGUUUUUAAGGCUGUACAGAUGCCUCAGAGCUUUCCCUGAGCUCCCAACUGGAAGCCGGCAUUCUUUCCCCACCUCAGUUACUUAUUUGGCUUGAGGAUGAUGCUUUGCAGUUUCUACCUGGUGACAUACCCUGUGCUCUUAUCCAGGACACAGCUCUGGAUCCUGCCUCCUUCCUGGGACUGGGUACCUAGUGAAUUGAGAGCUUCACAGGUAUACAAACAAAGAAUUAACCAUAUCUGAAGUCCCUUCUAACACCAACUCUGUGGUUUAUUAUAUUAAUAUAAUGCUUAUUCUGAAGCAUGUUUAACAAGAAUCUACUUGGAAGAUUGUAAACAAAGUUAUAAUUGAGACUUGUCUAAUCAAAAACCAAACAGUCUUGGUGGAUUUCUUGUUCCUUUAAAAAGUGACUCCUUCAAAGGUAGGUGCCAUGUUAUGGCGGUGUGGAGGGGGGACUUCCUGGAGACCUUUUCUGGGGAGAGUUAACUUUGAGAUUCUGUUCUGCUUCUUACUGACUGUGUAACUUUAGGCAAAUCAUGAAAUGUUUCUGAGCCCAGGUUUUUCAGCCAAAAGAUAAUGAUAUGCGUUUUACACAGUAAUGUUGGGAGGAAUGAAUGUGAUAAUGGACUUGAAAGUGUUUUGCAAAGUGAAAAGAAUGCCAUCCAUAAUAGAAGUUAUUAUUAUCAUUAUCAUUAUCAAUAUC